rnacentral:piRNA from 1 species
UACUAAGAGGGUUCCAGGUAUGUCUGAAGCU